GAGCACACUGCAGAGGCAGACGAGGCAGAGAAGACAAGCUACGGCGGAGCCAAGACGGCUGAGACGACACAGACGGAGUAGAGCAGAGGUACGCAGGGACGCGGAAGAAGCAGAGGCAAGCAAAGACUAAGGGCGCACAUACAAGGCAGAGGAGCCGGCGAGAGGCGCGGAGAUGAGGCGGCGACCGUGCAAUGGCGGUGAGUGAGGUACAGAGGUGAGAGACACCUUAAUAUAUGAAAUUUGGUAAAGAGGACCAUCUCUA
rnacentral:lncRNA from 1 species